rnacentral:rRNA from 1 species
GACGAACGCUGGCGGCGUGCUUAACACAUGCAAGUCGAACGGUGAGGCGCCUUCCUUUUUGGUGGGUGUGGAUGAGUGGCGAACGGGUGAGUAACACGUGAGUAACCUGCCCCCUGCUUCUGGAUAACCGCAUGAAAGUGUGUCUAAUACGGGAUAUCCUGGGUCUGUCUCAUGAUGGGUCUGUGACAGCUGUUGGUUCGGUGGGGGAUGCGCUCGCGGCCUAUCAGCUUGUUGGUGGGGUGAUGGCCUAUCAGGGCUGUGACGGGUAGCCGGCCUGAGCGGGUGGCCGGUCAGAGUGGGACUGCGACCCGACUGGGACUGAUACGCGACCCAGCCGUCUGGGAUAGGGAACAAUGGGGGAUAGUCUGCUGCAGCGACGCCGCGUGAGCGAUGGAGGCCUUCGGGUUGUGACGCUCUUCCGCUAGUGAAGCAGGCCUGCCUCGUUUGUGGGUGGAUUGACGGUAGCGGGUUAAGAAGCGCCGGCUAACUACGUG